CCCUUAGAUGUUCUGGGCCGCACGCGCGCUACACUGAUGCAUUCAACGAGUCUAAAGCCUGCUCUGAUAGGGGUGGGUAAUCUUUUGAAUGUGCAUCGUGAUUGGGAUAGAUGAUUGCAAUUUUUCAUCUUCAACGAGGAAUGCCUAGUAAACGCAAGUCAUCAGCUUGCAUUGAUUACGUCCCUGCCCUUUGUACACACCGCCCGUCGCUCCUACCGAUUGAAUGAUCCGAUGAAUAUCAUGGAUUGAGGAUGUAAGCAGGUUCGCCUGUCUUCAUCUUCGAGAAGUGAAGUAAAUCUUAUCAUUUAGAGGAAGGAGAAGUCGUAACA
rnacentral:rRNA from 1 species